GAAGAGGGGUUUUAUAUGAAGUUGAGAGUAUUAUUUAGUAGCCAAGGAUGACUUGCCUACUUCAUUUGAUAUAUAGUUUAAAAUAAUAAUAUUGACAAUAUUUGUCAUUUGGUCGUAGGCAAGUUAUCCUGGCUAUCUUGACAUGCUCGUAAUUUUUCAUGUAAGACCUUAUCUUC